CCAGCUUUGAGGUCAACGCCAGCUGCCAGACUCAGGGCAAUUAUUGAGCCACUCAUGCUGAUCAUGAAGAUACCCAAAUGGAUACCUCUGCCAUCGCUCACUCAUGUGUCACAGCAUUCCCAGCCACCUUUCUAAAUGGCACCGCUCUACCUAUAUUGACCCAAAGAAAGUGAAGAGGAUGAAGUAGUGGUAGUGAACAGAAUAAAUCCCAUUUACCAAGG